AAUCAACGCUGGCGGCGUGCCUCAGACAUGCAAGUCGAACGCGAAAGGCCCCUUCGGGGGCCCGGUAGAGUGGCGCACGGGUGAGUAACACGUAGGUAAUUUGCCUUCGGGUGGGGAAUAACAGCCGGAAACGGCUGCUAAUACCGCAUAAUGCAGCGGCUCGACAUCGAGACAGUUGUUAAAGCGGGGGAUCGCAAGACCUCGCGCCUGAAGAGAAGCCUGCGGCAGAUAGCUUGUUGGUGAGGUAAUGGCUCACCAAGGCGACGAUCUGUAACCGGCCUGAGAGGGCGGUCGGUCACACUGACACUGACA
rnacentral:rRNA from 1 species